UGCUCGGCGAAUAUUAUUUGAUGUUAUGUGAAUACUAUUAUUGAUGUUUUUUCGUGGAUUUUAUUUGAUGUUGGGUGAAUAUUAUUAUUCAUGUGAUGAAGCUUGCAAUAUUAUUUUUAUUAUUUGUAUUAUUAUUCAACAGAGAUAAAUGAUGUUUUCGUUGCAUUACAUAUGCAUUAUAAAUACAGUGGUGUUAAGGGGGUGUAUGUCGUUUGACGUGUAUCUAAAGGGUGGGAGAAGGCCUUAGAUAUAUAUGAGUAAAAAUGCGGAAUACAUUCAAGUGAUGGGAGCAGAGCUUGAAUAUAUUGAGGUGAUGGGAAUAGGGCCUCUAAAGAAAAGUGAAAGUUGAGAAAUUCGUAAACAAAAGAAAAAUAGGUUAAGAGACGGAUGAGCGCUAGUUCAUAUUUUAGGGUAUUCAAAGCUACAUUGGUAAAACGAAUGGUAUGGGACAUGUAGGCUUGUUGCCCUAAGAUAUGAAUUAGUGGGAUUAGAAGGGAUUUUGUUCAUGGCAUCACUGCAUAUGCAAAUUUAUUUAUCUAGUAUGAUUGCAUAAUUUCUAUAUCUUGCGUUGUUUGAUGCAUGACACUUUGAUUAACUGUGGUAGCUGACCUUGAGGGGUUUGACGGAACUCUAUUGGGCAUUAGAAUGCUCAUACCCUAAUAGAUUGUGCAUGAUUCAAGGCGAAGUUUGAAGAAGCGGGUUUCAACCAAGCUACUAGGUUUUUGUUGACGAUUUGUGUAAUUAACAUUUGUAAGUAGUCAACCGUUUGAUAAAGAUCUUAGUGUGUAUUUAACUACGAGCUAUACUGCGACUUUGAUUUUGUGGUGU
rnacentral:lncRNA from 1 species